rnacentral:rRNA from 1 species
CCUACGGGUGGCAGCAGUAGGGAAUAUUGCUCAAUGGGGGAAAGCCUGAAGCAGCAACGCCGCGUGGAGGAUGAAGGUUUUCGGAUUGUAAACCCCUUUUGUUAGAGAAGAAAAUGACGGUAUCUAACGAAUAAGGACCGGCUAACUCCGUGCCAGCAGCCGCGGUAAUACGGAGGGUGCAAGCGUUACCCGGAAUUACUGGGCGUAAAGGGAGCGUAGGCGGGAUAGCAAGUCAGAUGUGAAAUCCUAUGGCUUAACCAUAGAACUGCAUUUGAAACUGUUAGUCUAGAGUAUAGGAGAGGUAGGUGGAAUUCUUGGUGUAGCGGUUAAAUCCGUAGAGAUCACGAAGAAUACUCAUUGCGAAGGCGGCCUGCUAGACCAUAACUGACGCUGAUGCGCGAAAGCGUGGGGAGCAAACAGGAUUAGAUACCCCGGUAGUC